rnacentral:rRNA from 1 species
AGAGAUGUGUGAUGACGCAUAUCAAUAAGCGGAGGAAAAGAAACUAACAAGGAUUCCCUUAGUAACGGCGAGUGAAGCGGGAAGAGCUCAAAUUUGAAAUCUUCAAGGUUCUACCUUGACGAAUUGUAGUUUAUAGAAGUGUUUUCUGUUAGUAGAGUGGCAAAAGUUCCUUGGAAUAGGACAUCAUAGAGGGUGAGAAUCCCGUAUUUGGUCAUUCCUUCCUAGCUUUGUGAUACACUUUCAACGAGUCGGAUUGUUUGGGAAUGCAGUCCAAAAUGGGUGGUAAAUUUCAUCUAAAGCUAAAUAUUGGCGAGAGACCGAUAGCGAACAAGUACCGUGAGGGAAAGAUGAAAAGAACUUUGAAAAGAGAGUUAAACAGUACGUGAAAUUGUCAAAAGGGAAGCGUUUGACACCAGUGUUGUUUUUCCGAAAAUCAAUUACGAAUGUUUUAUUUUUGAGAAGUUAUGACUUCAUCGGCUUGCUUCUCUCUUUAUGAAACUUUCUUAAUGCACUUUUCGGUUAACAAGUCAACAUCAAUUUCUUUUGUUGUAAGAGGGUAUGAGGAAGGUGGCUUUCUUUUCGGAGAAAGUGUUUAUAGCCUUGUAGCCUCUGCAAUCGGAGAGAUUGAGGUCUGCAGCGUAGAUCCUUCGGGGUUAGAUACAUUUGUGCUAAGUUAUAGCUUUUCAUAGACAACUUGUUGACUAUGUUAAGUCUUGUACUUACUCGCAUGAUGCUAUUUUACCUACGCUUAGGAUGUUGAAGUCAUCGUAUCGCGC